rnacentral:rRNA from 1 species
AAUAUUGGACAAUGGGGGCAACCCUGAUCCAGCCAUGCCGCGUGUGUGAAGAAGGUCUUCGGAUUGUAAAGCACUUUAAGUUGGGAGGAGGGACUUUAGGCUAAUACCCUGAAGUUUUGACGUUCCCAACCAAAUAAGCACCGGCUAACCCUUUGCCCGCAGCCGAGGUAAUACAGAGGGUGCAAGCGUUAAUCGGAAUUACUGGGCGUAAAGCGCGCGUAGGUGGUUCAGUAAGAUGGGUGUGAAAUCCCCGGGCUUAACCUGGGAACUGCUUUCAUAACUGCUGAGCUAGAGUACGGUAGAGGGUAGUGGAAUUUCCUGUGUAGCGGUGAAAUGCGUAGAUAUAGGAAGGAACACCAGUGGCGAAGGCGACUACCUGGACUGAUACUGACACUGAGGUGCGAAAGCGUGGGGAGCAAA